rnacentral:lncRNA from 1 species
UGCAGCUGCAUGAAGGAUUCUCCUAAAAAACACCCGAGAUGGGUCUCGAGAUAUCACCCUAAGUUAGGGUGGGCCCUGAGGCAACGACUUGUGUCCUUCUAAGAAGCAGAGACUGGAGUGACGAGGCCACAAGCCUGGGACGCCUGGAGCCCCCAGGAGCUGUGAGAGGCAGGAAGGACCCUGCCCUAGAGCCUCCAGAGGGAAGUGGAUACAAGUGUAGUGGAUUGAACUGUAGUCCUCCUAAAAGAUCUGUCCACAUCCUAAUUCCCAGAACUGGUCCAUGGGACCUUAUUUGAAAAUAGGGUGUUUGUCAUAAGUGAAGUAUCUAGAGAUGCGAUGAUUCUGGAUUAGGGCGGGCCAUAAAUGCAAUGACAUGUGUCCUUGUAAGAGACAGAAGAGGAGACACAGACACAGAGGAGAAGGCCACGUGGAGACGGAGGCAGAGACUGCAGUGACGCGGCCACAAGCCCAGGGAUGCCUGCAGCCCCCAGGAGCUGGGAGAGGCAGAAGGAGCCCCUGGAGGGAGCACAGCCCUGUCCUCACCUUGAUCUCAGAGUUUUCGUGUCCAGGAGGGGAGAGCAUAGAUCUGUGCUGUUUAAAUCCCCAGUUUGUGGCUACUGAUUUAGGAAAAACCUCCAAAAACC